CCUACGGGAGGCAGCAGUGGGGAAUUUUCCGCAAUGGGCGAAAGCCUGACGGAGCAAUACCGCGUGAGGGAGGAAGGCUCUUGGGUUGUAAACCUCUUUUCUGAGGGAAGAAAAAAAUGACGGUACCUCAGGAGUAAGCAUCGGCUAACUCCGUGCCAGCAGCCGCGGUA
rnacentral:rRNA from 1 species